rnacentral:rRNA from 1 species
CCUACGGGAGGCAGCAGUGAGGAAUAUUGGUCAAUGGUCGCGAGCCUGAACCAGCCAAGCCGCGUGAAGGAUGAAGGUCCUGCGGGUCGUAAACCUCUUUUAUAAGGGAACAAAGGCAGGCACGUGUCCCCGGAUGAAUGUACCUUAUGAAAAAGGAUCGGCUAACUCCGUGCCAGCAGCCGCGGUAAUACGGAGGAUGCGAGCGUUAUCCGGAUUUAUUGGGUUUAAAGGGAGCGUAGACGGGUUGUUAAGUCAGUGGUGAAAGUCUGGGGCUCAACCGCAAGACGGCAGUUGAAACUGGCAGUCUUGAGUACGAGAGAUGUAGGCGGAAUGCGUGGUGUAGCGGUGAAAUGCUUAGAUAUCGCGCAGAACUCCGAUUGCGAAGGCAGCAUGC